AUACGUAGGGGGCGAGCGUUGUCCGGAAUUACUGGGCGUAAAGGGUGCGUAGGUGGCCUUUUAAGUUGGAUGUGAAAUACCCGGGCUUAACCUGGGGGGUGCAUCUAAUACUGGGAGGCUAGAGUGCAGGAGAGGAAAGCGGAAUUCCUAGUGUAGCGGUGAAAUGCGUAGAUAUUAGGAGGAACACCAGUGGCGAAGGCGGCUUUCUGGACUGUAACUGACGCUGAGGUGCGAAAGCGUGGGGAGC
rnacentral:rRNA from 1 species